rnacentral:rRNA from 1 species
UACGGGGGGGGCAAGCGUUGUCCGGAAUUACUGGGCGUAAAGAGCUCGUAGGUGGUUUGUCGCGUUGUCCGUGAAAACUCACAACUCAAUUGUGGGCGUGCGGGCGAUACGGGCAGACUGGAGUACUGCAGGGGAGACUGGAAUUCCUGGUGUAGCGGUGGAAUGCGCAGAUAUCAGGAGGAACACCGGUGGCGAAGGCGGGUCUCUGGGCAGUAACUGACGCUGAGGAGCGAAAGCGUGGGGAGCGAACAGG